rnacentral:lncRNA from 1 species
AGGGUGCGGCGUUAAUGGUGCAGCUGCGGGAGCGGCCGUGUCUGCCGGCUGUGUGAGAGGAGGUCGCCGGCUGGCGGUGCAGCGGCCUCCGUCGCAGCCGUGUGGCUGUCCUAGUGCUUCAAACCCUUGUUGUUUUUUAAGAGGCCUGGAGUGCGAAGGUCUCAGGGAAAAAGAAUCCUUAGUUGACACCUGAUGGGAGGGUAGAAUGUGUUCUGCACACCCUCAUCCCACAGAGACAGCUUCAGUGGCGUGUGUGAGGAACGCUCCACAGCCUUCAGCUGAGGGGCACAAGCUGUGUCUGGAGAAGGGAUUUACUUGAGCAGCAUUUGCUGCCUGUGAAAACACAUGGGCAUUGACUCCAGAGUGAGGUACUGUCUGUUACUGCUGCACCUCGUCUUCAAUGGAACUGUAUAACCUACCAUAGCAGCAGCGUUAGAAGUGCCAGACAUGGCCCCAACCAUCCCGGCAGUCCAUCCCUGGGCUCAGAAAGACCACCCCUCAGCAACAGCUGAGGAUCAGUGUUCACUACUGGAUCAGUGAAGCUGUAGUAAACACACGGCCCUGGGAACCUAUAGCUUUGGAGGGCUGAAGCUUGAUGAUCUUUAAGGUCCCUUACAACCUAAGCCAUUCUAUGAAGCACUGACAGCUACACAAAGAAUACCUAUCUGACCUACAGAUACACUGCACCAAAUGAAAUGCUGUCUCAUGUAUGUUAAAUGUAUAAAAUAGCUAUCACAAA